rnacentral:rRNA from 1 species
UGGCUCAGGAUGAACGCUAGCGACAGGCCUAACACAUGCAAGUCGAGGGGCAUCGGGGCGAGGAGCAAUCCUUGCCGCCGGCGACCGGCGCACGGGUGAGUAACGCGUAUGCGACCUGCCCGUUGCAGGGGGAUAAUCGGGAGAAAUCCCGUCUAAUACCGCGUAAUGCCGCGGGGCUGCAUGGCCCUGCGGCCAAAGGAAGCGAUUCCGGCAACGGAUGGGCAUGCGUGACAUUAGCUAGUUGGCGGGGCAACGGCCCACCAAGGCGACGAUGUCUAGGGGUUCUGAGAGGAAGGUCCCCCACACUGGUACUGAAACACGGACCAGACUCCUACGGGAGGCAGCAGUGAGGAAUAUUGGUCAAUGGGCGCGAGCCUGAACCAGCCAAGUCGCGUGAGGGAUGACGGCCCUACGGGUUGUAAACCUCUUUUGUCGGGGAGCAAAUUCCGCCACGUGUGGCGGAGUCGAGAGUACCCGAAGAAAAAGCAUCGGCUAACUCCGUGCCAGCAGCCGCGGUAAUACGGAGGAUGCGAGCGUUAUCCGGAUUUAUUGGGUUUAAAGGGUGCGUAGGCGGACUGUCAAGUCAGCGGUAAAAUACGGGGGCUCAACCUCCGCCCGCCGUUGAAACUGACGGUCUUGAGUGGGCGAGAAGUAUGCGGAAUGCGUGGUGUAGCGGUGAAAUGCAUAGAUAUCACGCAGAACUCCGAUUGCGAAGGCAGCAUACCGGCGCCCAACUGACGCUGAAGCACGAAAGCGUGGGUAUCGAACAGGAUUAGAUACCCUGGUAGUCCACGCAGUAAACGAUGAAUACUAGCUGUCCGGGGCGAAUGAGCCCUGGGUGGCACAGCGAAAGCGUUAAGUAUUCCACCUGGGGAGUACGCCGGCAACGGUGAAACUCAAAGGAAUUGACGGGGGCCCGCACAAGCGGAGGAACAUGUGGUUUAAUUCGAUGAUACGCGAGGAACCUUACCCGGGCUCAAACGACACAGGAACGUACCUGAAAGGGUUCGGCUCUACGGAGCCUGUGUCGAGGUGCUGCAUGGUUGUCGUCAGCUCGUGCCGUGAGGUGUCGGCUUAAGUGCCAUAACGAGCGCAACCCCCAUCGACAGUUGCUAACAGGUCAGGCUGAGGACUCUGUCGAGACUGCCGGCGCAAGCUGCGAGGAAGGCGGGGAUGACGUCAAAUCAGCACGGCCCUUACGUCCGGGGCGACACACGUGUUACAAUGGCAGGUACAGCGGGAAGCCACCUGGCGACAGGGAGCGGAACCCGAAAGCCUGUCUCAGUUCGGAUUGGAGUCUGCAACCCGACUCCAUGAAGCUGGAUUCGCUAGUAAUCGCGCAUCAGCCACGGCGCGGUGAAUACGUUCCCGGGCCUUGUACACACCGCCCGUCAAGCCAUGGAAGCCGGGGGUGCCUGAAGUGCGCUGCCGCGAGGAGCGCCCUAGGGUAAAACUCGGUGACUGGGGCUAAGUCGUAACAAGGU